rnacentral:tRNA from 1 species
GGAUCCGUGGUGCAAUGGUAGCGCGUCUGACUCUAGUUGCAUGAUUGAUUCAUGUCGGGUUCA